ACACUUCGAACGCACCUUGUGUGAAUUGCAGGACACAUUGAUCAUCGAAACUUCGAACGCACCUUGCGGCCCCGGGUUACUCCCGGGGCUACGGCUGUCUGAGGGUCGCUUUGACAUCAAUCGGAAAGGCCGUUCUACCUCGUGCCUUCUCGCGGGUGUGGCCGACGCUGGCAUCCGUUGCUCUUCCCACUAAGCGCAGACGGCUGAGGAGUCUCUCGCCACCUCGGUUGCGGUUGUGGCGCGGUGUCAGGCCUACCGCCCUUCCGUAAUACCCGUGGGAUCCAGUGCUCCAGUUCCUCUCUUCCUCAUGCUCCCGUGGAACCAAAAACCCCUGGGAGAAGGGUCGCCCGGACGGGCACCGCAUGAAUCGGGAGCGGCUGUCGGUGGACAGACCUUGUCUCUCCGCGCUGACCGUGUUACGUGUCCGGGAUGAUGGCCUAGUAACGCUGCGGCUGUGAGUACGAGGUUCGGGGGUCGUCCUCGGUGUUUGGGAGGUCGCGGCGCAGGGGGCACCCACCGGCUCGUCGCGGCGCACUCCACCUCCGGAGGCGUUACGACCCCCCCAGGCUAUCCCGGAACGCGCCCAACAGAGCAGACUAGA
rnacentral:rRNA from 1 species